GACGAACGCUGGCGGCGUGCUUAACACAUGCAAGUCGUACGGUAAGGCCCUUUCGGGGGUACCCGAGUGGCGAACGGGUGAGUAACACGUGAGUAACCUGCCCACAACUUUGGGAUAACGCUAGGAAACUGGUGCUAAUACUGGAUAUGUGCUCCUGCUGCAUGGUGGGGGUUGGAAAGCUCCGGCGGUUGUGGAUGGACUCGCGGCCUAUCAGCUUGUUGGUGGGGUAGUGGCCUACCAAGGCGGCGACGGGUAGCCGGCCUGAGAGGGUGACCGGCCACAUUGGGACUGAGAUACGGCCCAGACUCCUACGGGAGGCAGCAGUGGGGAAUAUUGCACAAUGGGCGCAAGCCUGAUGCAGCAGCGCCGCGUGCGGGAUGACGGCCUUCGGGUUGUAAACCGCUUUCAGCAGGGACGAAGCUUUUUGUGACGGUACCUGCAGAAGAAGCACCGGCUAACUACGUG
rnacentral:rRNA from 1 species